rnacentral:lncRNA from 1 species
GUCACCUCUCCAAGUAAUACUUUAUACUGCCCUGGGACUCUGUAGAGAGUCCCUACCAGCAAGAAGGCUCUCACCAGAUGUGGCCCCUCGACCUUGGAUGUAGCCUCCAGAAUUACUCUAGAAGUAAGGAACCAAGCGCCUCACUGGUGGUGUGGAAGAACUGGGAUUCCCCACAGUGCAGUGGAAAUUCCUGGGAGUCUCGAACCACAUAUUUUCCAUCGACUACAUCCAAAGCUCUGCAAAGAACGGAACCACAGUCAUGUCAAUACACUAUGAACAAUGCCAAAAUCUCAAGAAACCCAAAGGCAUAUUUCUCCAUGUAUUAAUAUAUUUCCAGUCAGCCCAAAUAAUGAAUCAUUCUUCAAAACCUACACGGCGUUGUAGAUAAUUUGGCGCUCUCAUAGCACAUUUAUAAAUAAACCUGGAUGACUUCA